UUAGCACAAUGGGGGUGGUGGGUGCGGAUCUGGCGGCAUUCCCGCCGCCGAAGACGGCUGGGGGCAGGUGGGAGGUGGGGGUGCGACAAGGCUGGUACUGGUAGGAGGACUCCUUGGUAGCACAUUUUGAGUACCACAAGAAAGCAAUUAGAUCUAUCGAGUGGAGUCUACAUGAAGCACCAACAUUGGCUGUAACAUCUGAAGAUCAUCAACUCACAAUUUGGGAUCUUUCAUUGGAAAAAGAUAUAGAAGAGGAGGCCGAAUUCAGAGCGAAAAUGAAAGAGCAGGCAAAUGCACCUGAAGAUUUGCCCCCACUACUUCUGUUUGUUCAUCAGG